CGGCGAGUGAAGCGGGAUGAGCUCAAAUUUGAAAGCUGGCAGCAAUGUCCGCGUUGUAAUCUCGAGAGAUGUUUUCCGCGUUGGACCACGUACAAGUUCCUUGGAAUAGGAUGUCAUAGAGGGUGAAAAUCCCGUACUUGAUGUGGACGCCCAGUGCUUUGUGAUACGUCUUCGAAGAGUCGAGUUGUUUGGGAAUGCAGCUCAAAAUGGGUGGUAAAUUCCAUCUAAAGCUAAAUAUUGGGGAGAGACCGAUAGCGAACAAGUACCGUGAGGGAAAGAUGAAAAGCACUUUGGAAAGAGAGUUAAACAGUACGUGAAAUUGUCAAAAGGGAAGCAUUUGAAGUCAGACGUGUAUUGCAGUAUUCAGCCUUGCUUUUGCUUGGUGUAUUUGCUGUAUUACAGGCCAACAUCAGUUUUGAGUGCGGAUAAGGGUAGAGAGAAUGUGGCAUCCUCGGAUGUGUUAUAGCUCUUUACUGGAUACGUCGUUUAGGACUGAGGAACGCAGCGCGCCGCAAGGCAGACCCUCGGGUACUUUCGCGCCUAGGAUGUUGGCCGUAAUGGCUUUA
rnacentral:rRNA from 1 species